rnacentral:rRNA from 1 species
AUCCAGACUCCUACGGGAGGCAGUAGUGGGGAAUAUUGCGCAAUGGGCGAAAGCCUGACGCAGCGACGCCGCGUGGGUGAAGGAGCGUUUCGGCGCGUAAAGCCCUAUCGGCAGGGAAGAAGGAGGACGGUACCUGACUAAGAAGCCCCGGCUAACUACGUGCCAGCAGCCGCGGUAAUACGUAGGGGGCAAGCGUUAUCCGGAUUUACUGGGUGUAAAGGGGGCGCAGACGGCAGCGCAAGCCAGGAGUGAAAGCCCGGGGCCCAACCCCGGGACUGCUCUUGGAACUGCGCGGCUGGAGUGCAGGAGGGGCAGGCGGAAUUCCUGGUGUAGCGGUGAAAUGCGUAGAUAUUAGGAGGAACACCAGUGGCGAAGGCGGCUUACUGGACGGCAACUGACGCUGAGGCUCGAAAGCGUGGGGAGCAAACAGGAUUAGAUACCCUAGUA